AACUCUCAACUAAAAAAAGAAAGCAUGUGGUCUGCCGCUCUACGUGGACAUGGCUGUACAGGUGCAUUUCCCUCUUUCCAGUAAGGAGCUUUUCUGCAACUGAUGAUUUAUGAUGGGCCACGCAGCUGUGAACAGUGAAUAACCAGGACUGGAUUCCCACAUCACUUGCAUUGGAGAACAGCUACUUGCCAUGGAAACAUGCUUAUAUUAUUUCCCUUCUUUUCAGCCCAUCAUUUGUUUGUCUUAUCCCCUGGUGCAUCUGAUCCCUGGCCAAGAAUGUAAGUUAUCUGCAAAGGGGCUGUUUUUAUUAGUGUUAUAAAGCAAGCCUGGUCCCUUUUUGUGGCCUCUGAUCACUACAGCCAAAUAAAUAGCAAUUGUCAAAGAAUUUA